GCUUCCGUGGUGUAGUGGUCAGCACGCUCGGCGCACAUUCGAGAGGUCCCAGGUUCGAGUCCCGGCGAGGGCU
rnacentral:tRNA from 1 species